rnacentral:sRNA from 1 species
GAUGAUUUCACUAUCAGUAGGCACAUUGUUGAAUGACACUGGAGAGAAAGAAAAGUGGUGUGUGUGUGUCUGUUUCUCUGUGUGUGUUUGUAUGUGUGUGGGUCUGUAUGUAUGAAACUAGUAAGAAUGAACAUUCAAAAAGAACAAGGUGGGCAACUGUGACAGCCAUUCUGUGGGAGGCACAGCAGUGUGCAGAAAGUUAAUGUCUCCAUAGCAAACCAUGGGGAACUGUGGGUCAGAGACUCUCCAGCAUCCUUGGAAGUGGCCUCUUCACAGUCAUCUGAGAACCUGGAGGAAGAUGCUGUUUACAAGACCCACGUGGAGAAGGACUUCAUUGCUUUCUGCUCUUCAACGCCACACAACGUGUCCUGGAGAGACAGCACAAUGGGCUCUAUCUUCAUCACACAACUCAUCACGUGCUUCCAGAAAUAUUCUUGGUGCUGCCACCUAGAGGAAGUAUUUCGGAAGGUACAGCAAUCAUUUGAAACUCCAAGGGCCAAAGCUCAAAUGCCCACCAUAGAACGACUGUCCAUGACAAGAUAUUUCUACCUCUUUCCUGGCAAUUGAAAAUGGAAGCCACAAGCAGCCCAGCCCUCCUUAAUCAACUUCAAGGAGCACCUUCAUUAGUACAGCUUGCAUAUUUAACAUUUUGUAUUUCAAUAAAAGUGAAGACAAACGAA